rnacentral:misc_RNA from 1 species
AAGAAGUACACGAGCAUCCGCAGCUCCGGUAGCAAUGUCGACAGGCUUUUCAUUCUCCUCUUCUACUUCACCCUUCUCUUUCUCUUCAAAUCCGUCUUUUACCACCACCCCCUCUGUCGCCGCUACCACAUCCGCUUCCGGUUCUUCCCCAUUUUCCUCGCCCUUCGCAAACCCUAACCCCACCUCCUCUACUCCUUCUUUUGGCUUCGGUACAUCUACUACUUCAGCCUCUUCUG